rnacentral:rRNA from 1 species
AGAGUUUGAUCCUGGCUCAGGAUGAACGCUAGCGGCGUGCCUUAUGCAUGCAAGUCGAACGGUCUUAAGCAAUUAAGAUAGUGGCGAACGGGUGAGUAACGCGUAAGUAACCUACCUCUAAGUGGGGGAUAGCUUCGGGAAACUGAAGGUAAUACCGCAUGUGGUGGACCGACAUAUGUUGGUUCACUAAAGCCGUAAGGCGCUUGGUGAGGGGCUUGCGUCCGAUUAGCUAGUUGGUGGGGUAAUGGCCUACCAAGGCUUCGAUCGGUAGCUGGUCUGAGAGGAUGAUCAGCCACACUGGGACUGAGACACGGCCCAGACUCCUACGGGAGGCAGCAGCAAGGAAUCUUGGGCAAUGGGCGAAAGCCUGACCCAGCAACGCCGCGUGAGGGAUGAAGGCUUUCGGGUUGUAAACCUCUUUUCAUAGGGAAGAAUAAUGACGGUACCUGUGGAAUAAGCUUCGGCUAACUACGUGCCAGCAGCCGCGGUAAUACGUAGGAAGCAAGCGUUAUCCGGAUUUAUUGGGCGUAAAGUGAGCGUAGGUGGUCUUUCAAGUUGGAUGUGAAAUUUCCCGGCUUAACCGGGACGAGUCAUUCAAUACUGUUGGACUAGAGUACAGCAGGAGAAAACGGAAUUCCCGGUGUAGUGGUAAAAUGCGUAGAUAUCGGGAGGAACACCAGAG